AACGCCGUACCUGUGGCUCAUUCGACCGUGUGUAAUACAUGUAGGUCUGUUUUACUCAGGUAAUCACUGUGUCGUGUAUACACGCCCCAAUUUCUGUGUUCUCUCUUCGUACGUGAAUACGUCAUCCACCGCCGUCUAAAUUCGACGAUUUCAACUUCCAAAUAGCUGGAACGUAUCCCACGUCAACGACGGGCCAUAGGAAAGAAGGUGUGACUUGAAAAAUGAGCUAAUCUCCGUCGUCGCGAGGGCCAACGCACCAAUUGUAUUUCAGGUGGGCGAAACUUUUCCAGUUUGAAAACAUCGAAACAAAACAUGGCAGAACAAAACGAGCAAAGUAAACAAACAAAAACAACCAGAAACCAAGAAAAAAAAAAAAAGAGGGCGAAACAAAGAGGGAACAACAAGGGACACAGGAUCAAAAGUGAAAACUAAAUCAACCAACCAGGACCGAAUUUUAUUACAGACAAAUGAUGACACAGCCAUUAUGGAAAACGCAAAAUCCGUUAUGACGAAAACCAAGAGGGGCAGAAGAAAAACAAAAGGGGACCGAAUUGUUGCAACUCUUUCGCUGAAAAUCGUAAAGGGGGAUAAUAAUAUUAAUAAUAAGCUGUCUAUCACAGAUCCACAGACUGCUGCAAGAGUGAAAUAAUUUUCUGUUUUUUUUUUUUUAACUGAUUUUUUAUUUUCGUCAUUCUCGUGAACAUGAAAAUAGAGACGGCCUAAUGCGUAACCAACACACUGUUCUGACGACAUACAUUUUUUUUCGGACAAAUUGCCCAAUAUGUUAAUAUUCUCGAUUAAUAAUUUUUUUUUUUUUUAGCUUUAAUUAUAUUUUUUUUUUCAAGAUAAUUUUUUGUGUUAUAGAAAUUAUCCCACAUUUUCUUUGAGUACUCGGCUAGUCGAAUACCAGAAGACUAGACUAAAUAGCUAGAUUAAAUAUUAUUUCCCGAUAAGCAGGUUAAGGGAAGAUUAAUUGGGCGAUGCCAAACCGGACACUGCCCGCAGGGAAAACAACACCGGAAAAGAAACACACACACAAAAAAAAAAAGAAACUCGGAAAUAUCCUACCUCUUUUUCGCUCUUUAAAGCUCGCAAUGACCUUACUGAGAAGCAACUGGAUUCAACAAAAAGGGGCAAAGAAAAAAAAAAAAAAACUGUCAUACAUUCUGAAUGGAUGGAA